UACAGAGGGUGCAAGCGUUAAUCGGAAUUACUGGGCGUAAAGCGUGCGUAGUCGGUUAUUUAAGUCGGGCGUGAAAGCCCCGGGCUCAACCUGGGAAUUGCGUUCGAUACUGGAUAGCUAGAGUUCGGCAGAGGGAAGCGGAAUUUCGGGUGUAGCGGUGAAAUGCGUAGAUAUCCGAAGGAACAUCAGUGGCGAAGGCGGCUACCUGGCCCGGUACUGACGCUGAGGCGCGAAAGCGUGGGGAGCGAACAGG
rnacentral:rRNA from 1 species